rnacentral:rRNA from 2 species
CAGCAGUGGGGAAUAUUGCACAAUGGGGGAAACCCUGAUGCAGCGACGCCGCGUGGAGGAAGAAGGUCUUCGGAUUGUAAACUCCUGUUGUUGAGGAAGAUAAUGACGGUACUCAACAAGGAAGUGACGGCUAACUACGUGCCAGCAGCCGCGGUAAAACGUAGGUCACAAGCGUUGUCCGGAAUUACUGGGUGUAAAGGGAGCGCAGGCGGGAGAACAAGUUGGAAGUGAAAUCCAUGGGCUCAACCCAUGAACUGCUUUCAAAACUGUUUUUCUUGAGUAGUGCAGAGGUAGGCGGAAUUCCCGGUGUAGCGGUGGAAUGCGUAGAUAUCGGGAGGAACACCAGUGGCGAAGGCGGCCUACUGGGCACCAACUGACGCUGAGGCUCGAAAGUGUGGGUAGCAAACAGGAUUAGAUACCCUGGUAGUCCACACCGUAAACGAUGAUUACUAGGUGUUGGAGGAUUGACCCCUUCAGUGCCGCAGUUAACACAAUAAGUAAUCCACCUGGGGAGUACGACCGCAAGGUUGAAACUCAAAGGAAUUGACGGGGGCCCGCACAAGCAGUGGAGUAUGUGGUUUAAUUCGACGCAACGCGAAGAACCUUACCAAGUCUUGACAUCCCUUGACGAACAUAGAAAUAUGUUUUCUCUUCGGAGCAAGGAGACAGGUGGUGCAUGGUUGUCGUCAGCUCGUGUCGUGAGAUGUUGGGUUAAGUCCCGCAACGAGCGCAACCCUUAUGGUCAGUUACUACGCAAGAGGACUCUGGCCAGACUGCCGUUGACAAAACGGAGGAAGGUGGGGAUGACGUCAAAUCAUCAUGCCCUUUAUGACUUGGGCUACACACGUACUACAAUGGCGUUAAACAAAGAGAAGCAAGACCGCGAGGUGGAGCAAAACUCAGAAACAACGUCCCAGUUCGGACUGCAGGCUGCAACUCGCCUGCACGAAGUCGGAAUUGCUAGUAAUCGUGGAUCAGCAUGCCACGGUGAAUACGUUCCCGGGCCUUGUACACACCGCCCGUCACACCAUGAGAGCCGGGGGGACCCGAAGUCGGUAGUCUAACCGCAAGGAGGACGCCGCCGAAGGUAAAACUGGUGAUUGGGGUGAAGUCGUAACAAGGUAGCCGUAGGAGAACCUGCGGCUG